GAAGUACUCCCUCCGUUCCGAAUUACUCGUUGCAGAAAUGGAUGUAUCUAGAUGUAUUUUAGUUCUAGAUACAUUCAUGUCCGCGACGAGUAAUUUGGAACAGAGGGAGUACUAG
rfam:Triticum aestivum genome assembly, contig: Triticum_aestivum_CS42_TGACv1_scaffold_374275_5AL